GCUUAUCGACCAGUAAGAUUUAACUACAUUACCUACGUAAUGGUCUUUUAUGACGAGAACAAGGUUUGUCAACCCCUGUUUGACAGGCAUUCCAUCCCAAGUCUGGCUCUGAACCCUCUGACCAUGCAGCCGGACAGAAGCAGACAACAA